rnacentral:rRNA from 1 species
UACGUAGGGGGCAAGCGUUGUCCGGAUUUAUUGGGCGUAAAGAGCGUGUAGGCGGCCAAGCAGGUCCGCUGUGAAACUCGAGGCUCAACCUCGAGACGUCGGUGGAAACCGUUUGGCUAGAGUCCGGAAGAGGAGAGUGGAAUUCCCGGUGUAGCGGUGAAAUGCGCAGAUAUCGGGAAGAACACCCGUGGCGAAGGCGGCUCUCUGGGACGGUACUGACGCUGAGACGCGAAAGCGUGGGGAGCGAACAGG